AGUGAACGCUGGCGGUAGGCCUAACACAUGCAAGUCGAACGGCAGCACAGUAAGAGCUUGCUCUUACGGGUGGCGAGUGGCGGACGGGUGAGGAAUACAUCGGAAUCUACUUUUUCGUGGGGGAUAACGUAGGGAAACUUACGCUAAUACCGCAUACGACCUACGGGUGAAAGCAGGGGAUCUUCGGACCUUGCGCGAUUGAAUGAGCCGAUGUCGGAUUAGCUAGUUGGCGGGGUAAAGGCCCACCAAGGCGACGAUCCGUAGCUGGUCUGAGAGGAUGAUCAGCCACACUGGAACUGAGACAGCGUCCAGACUCCUACGGGAGGCAGCAGUGGGGAAUAUUGGACAAUGGGCGCAAGCCUGAUCCAGCCAUACCGCGUGGGUGAAGAAGGCCUUCGGGUUGUAAAGACCUUUUGUUGGGAAAGAAAAGCAGCAGGUUAAUACCCCGCUGUUCUGACGGUACCCAAAGAAUAAGCACCGGCUAACUUCGUG
rnacentral:rRNA from 1 species